rnacentral:lncRNA from 1 species
GCUGCCUGGAAAAAGAAUGACUGUCAUAGACAACAAAGUUCUGGAUCUCGUCGACAAGGCAGAAUUCCACUCUCAACUCUGCAAAGAUUAGACUUUACAUUUAGUCUGCCAUUACCCUCUGACCUCAGUGAAAAGGAUGAAGGUGACCAGGUAUUCUCAUUCUUCAACCAAAGCAUGGCCACGGUUUUGAAUGGGCUGCUGCAUCCUCUGCCAGGGUGUGAUGCAGCAUCUGGAUUCUACUUGCUUCCGUGCAUGAAAUCACAUCCAAGAACAAUCCAGGGAACAGAAUCCAUUUGAGAUAAAGAAGACACCUUUCAUAUCAGUAACUGGAAGACAGUCAAGGAAACCUCUCUGAGAUCCUGCAUGGAGCCCCACAUACAGCUUCCUGUUCCACUGGAAUCAGAGGCAGUUGGGGGAAAGUCUCAAAUCAUCACAUGGAGAAACAACCUCUACUACUUUUAAAUUCUUCUGAAGUGACUAACUUGAUGGUUGGAUAUGUGCUUCACACAUGUUCAGCAUUACAGUAGAGUAAUAAAUAACUAUGUUGUAAAGAUUUCCAAGGAUCAGCUUCUGCACUGCAUAGUUAUUAAUAAACCAAUAAAAUGUAA